GAUUUCUGACGAACCGGAGUGGCCCGUAUCCUUUCGGGUAUGAGUGCCGCUUUGAGUUUGUCAUCCUUCCAGAGAGCUGCGUCUACCGUUUACUCGGCCGGACGUAUGCGAUCUGGAUCUAUUACUUUGAAAAAAUUAGAGUGUUUAAAGCAGGCUUAUGCUAUGAAUACAUUAGCAUGGAAUAAUAAUUUAGGACUUCGGUUCUAUUUUGUUGGUUUCUAGGACUGAAGUAAUGAUUGAUAGGGAUAGUUGGGGGUGCUAGUAUUCCGCGGCCAGAGGUGAAAUUCUUGGAUUCGCGGAAGACUAACUACUGCGAAAGCAUU
rnacentral:rRNA from 1 species